ACUGUAAUGCCAAAAAAAAAGUCAUACAGUUAAAAUUACAUCAUUGCCCUGUUAAAAAAAAGUCAGUAGCCUAGGCUCUUUGGCACAUUUCAUAAAACGAGUUUUUGCCUCGGCAACCGCCCGAGCCGCAUGUCGCUUGGACUGCCGAUACCCAUCAGCUGCCUCUGGAAUCCCACAGGCAGGGAGCACUGAGUCCAUUAAUGGUACUCAUCAUAAGGGGUCUUUGGGCUGCGCUUUGUCUGAUCCCUAACCUAAUUUCGUUUACCAUUUCGUAAAACUCUAAACCAAAUAAAACUGUUAAUGUGUUUAAAAGACAAUACCUUUUUUUAGAAUAAAUUAGGAAAGGGGAGCUUUAUGUAGGUCUAGUUAACACGGGAUGCCUAUCCAUGAUGAUAUUUGAAUGGAAAACGCAGCGGAAUCAAACCAUGGUGAUCCACACUCCAAACCAGUUGGUGGCGGUAAUGCACCGUUUCGUUUUGUGCCAACCGCCAGAAAAAUUCAUAAAGAAGAAGAAGAAGAAGAAUCAAACCAUGGCCAUCUGGUGCUGCUGCUCUACAUAUAUUGGAAUUUUUCAUGGAACCAACUAUUGGUAAGUAAACAAUUUUAUUUUCUGUUUAUUCCUGCUAUGUAGAAUAGUUUAUUUUACAAAAACUUUGUUCUUUGCAGGAGAAUAUAAAAUUAUUUUGGUUCAAAUGUUAGCUCCGCCCAUUCACAGGCUCUAGUUGCGCUUCAGCGUCAACGUCCCACACACAGUGGUUACUAGCUAGGUUGGUACACGUGCGUGUUCGGCUCUCUGGCAGUGGCACUUACAGACACCAAGUUUGAAUGUUUCUUCUCUAUUAAUCCGGAGAAGGGGACAAAAGUGGAACAAACAAAAACAAAACGGCUCUAUGUGAAUCCAAGAGUCCUUACUUUGAUUCAGGACCUCUCAGACCAUGAAUGGUGAGCUAUUUAAAAAGUUGUUCCUUCAGGUGACCAUGAACACCCAUGUUUAUCUAGAUGUUCUUCUAGAAGCAAUGCAGUUGCAUCUUAAUCAAGCCUUUACCAUGAUUCACAAGCUCUCCAUGAACAGCGAGCUAUUUAAAAAGUUGUUCCUUCAAGUGGCCGUGAACACCCAUGUUUCUCUAGAUGUUCUUCUAGAAGCAAUGCAGUUGCAUGUUAAUCAAGCCUUUACCAUGAUUCACAAGCUCUCCAUGAAUGGCGAGCUAUUUAAAAAGUUGUUCCUUCAAGUGGCCGCGAUAGUGAACACCCAUAUGUUUCUCUAGAUGUUCUUCUGGAAGCAAUGCAGUUGCAUCUUAAUCUAAGCUUCUGUAACUUGAUUCAUGACCUUUUCAACCAUGAAUGGCGAGCUGUUUGAAAAGUUGUUCCUUCAGGUGACCAUGAACACCCAUGUUUAUCUAGAUGUUCUUCUAGAAGCAAUGCAGUUGCAUCUUAAUCAAGCCUUUACCAUGAUUCACAAGCUCUCCAUGAAUGGCGAGCUAUUUAAAAAGGUGUUCCUUCAAAGUGAUGGAGCCGAUGAACACCUAUAUCACCUUUUUCCGUGGCUCGCUAUUAACAAGGUUCACAUUUAUUCACUCACUCACUACCACACCUCACUCAUAAUCCCUCUCUCUCACAAACACAAGUGCAACCACACACACACACACACACACACACAC